GUGGGGAAUAUUGGACAAUGGGCGAAAGCCUGAUCCAGCCAUGCCGCGUGUGUGAAGAAGGUCUUCGGAUUGUAAAGCACUUUAAGUUGGGAGGAAGGGCAGUAAGUUAAUACCUUGCUGUUUUGACGUUACCGACAGAAUAAGCACCGGCUAACUUCGUGCCAGCAGCCGCGGCAAUACGAAGGGUGCAAGCGUUAAUCGGAAUUACUGGGCGUAAAGCGCGCGUAGGUGGUUUUGUAAGUUGGAGGUGAAAUCCCCGGGCUCAACCUGGGAACUGCCUCCAAAACUGCAUGACUAGAGUACGGUAGAGGGUAGUGGAAUUUCCUGUGUAGCGGUGAACUGCGUAGAUAUAGGAAGGAACACCAGUGGCGAAGGCGACUACCUGGACUGAUACUGACACUGAGGUGCGAAAGCGUGGGGAGCAAACAGGAUUAGAAACCCCGGUAGUCC
rnacentral:rRNA from 1 species